rnacentral:rRNA from 1 species
AGAGUUUGAUCCUGGCUCAGAACGAACGCUGGCGGCAGUAACACAUGCAAGUCGAACGCACCUUCGGGUGAGUGGCAGACGGGUGAGUAACGCGUGGGAACGUGCCCUUCAGUUCGGAAUAACCCAGGGAAACUUGGGCUAAUACCGGAUACGUGCGAGAGCAGAAAGAUUUAUCGCUGAAGGAUCGGCCCGCGUCUGAUUAGCUAGUUGGUGGGGUAAUGGCCCACCAAGGCGACGAUCAGUAGCUGGUCUGAGAGGAUGAUCAGCCACAUUGGGACUGAGACACGGCCCAAACUCCUACGGGAGGCAGCAGUGGGGAAUAUUGGACAAUGGGCGCAAGCCUGAUCCAGCCAUGCCGCGUGAGUGAUGAAGGCCUUAGGGUUGUAAAGCUCUUUCGGCGGGGACGAUAAUGACGGUACCCGCAGAAGAAGCCCCGGCUAACUUCGUGCCAGCAGCCGCGGUAAUACGAAGGGGGCUAGCGUUGUUCGGAAUCACUGGGCGUAAAGGGCGCGUAGGCGGCUUGAUAAGUCGGGGGUGAAAGCCUGUGGCUCAACCACAGAAUUGCCUUCGAUACUGUCUGGCUUGAGACCGGAAGAGGUAAGUGGAACUGCGAGUGUAGAGGUGAAAUUCGUAGAUAUUCGCAAGAACACCAGUGGCGAAGGCGGCUUACUGGUCCGGUUCUGACGCUGAGGCGCGAAAGCGUGGGGAGCAAACAGGAUUAGAUACCCUAGUAGUCC